rnacentral:rRNA from 1 species
UAAUACGUAGGGUCCAAGCGUUAUCCGGAAUCACUGGGCGUAAAGCGUGCGUAGGUGGGAGUUUAAGUGAGAUGUGAAACCGUGUGGCUCAACCAUAUCGUUGCAUCUCAUACUGGACACCUAGAGGACGGCAGAGGCAAGUGGAAUUUGUAGUGUAGCAGUGAAAUGCGUAGAUAUUACAAGGAACACCAAUGGCGAAGGCAGCUUGCUGGGCCACUCCUGACACUGAGGUACGAAAGCGUGGGGAGCGAACAGGAUUAGAUACCCUGGUAGUCCACGCCGUAAACGAUGCAUACUAGCCGUAUGGGGUAUCGACCCCCUGUGCGGCGCAGCUAACGCGAUAAGUAUGCCGCCUGGGAAGUACGGCCGCAAGGCUA